rnacentral:rRNA from 1 species
GCUUACGACCAUACCACACUGCAAAUGCCCGAUCUCAUCUGAACUCGGAAGUAAAGCAGGGUCGGGCCUGGUUAGUACUUGAAUGGGAGACCGCUGCGCCUGUUUUAAAUAGCC